UUGCUUUCCGCUCUACAUUGGACAUUCGGCGGACAUUCGCAACCAACAGAAAGAAGCCAGAGGCUCGCAAAACUGGGGGAGGACCUGCACCACCACCACUCACAAAUGCAGAGGAGAUGGCCCUGAGCCUGAACACUGGAAGGCCAGUGGCUGAGGGAAUGCCAGGAGGGAUACAAGUGCCUUCAUAAAAUAUUCGGAUGGUAAUAUCUGCCUUUUGGAGCCUCCUGUCAUAACAGAACCCCAGGCAGUUGAAUUUGAGGAUGAUGAAACCACUUCUGCCACAGAGAGGCCUACAGAGAGUGUGGAAGAACAGCAGGAGGAGGGUCCAUCAAAUUCUGCUGCACAGAUGAACACAGUUCUGUAAAUGCCAGUUUAAUUCUGUACAAUUCAUGAAGAACUACGAAAUAUAACAACUGG